GACCGCAGAAUUAUUUUCCCGUGUAGCUGCCAUUGGUUUUGUUUGUAAAAAUAAACAACUGGUUCGGUGAAACCAGAAUCACUUUUGUGCUUUUUCCAAUUAUAUCUUGUACUGGAAAUCAAGGUUCUCAACAGUGUUCUUGGCGGAAAAAUGUGGAAGCAAAGUCCGCUUAGCUGCAAAACAAUUUCAUUAAGGCGUGAUAUUGGUCAGAAUAAUAUUCUUUCGGAUGCAGCUUCCCGGACACCCAAACAAAGACAAACUGACUAUCUUGCCCAUAAAUUUUAUUUAAGGAAAAC